rnacentral:pre_miRNA from 1 species
AUUUGGUAUCGCCAUGAGUUCUCUUCAAACUCUUCAUACGACACUAAUUCAAGUGAUGUUGUGAAGUGUUUGGAGUAGCUCUUGGUGUCACCAAAC